rnacentral:tRNA from 1 species
CUGACAGGAAAUUUUUGAGUCUUCUAAACUCAUUUUGACGUUUGGUCUUCUGUU